UUUCUACCUAAUCCUCUUCAGAUGAAGAUACAUUAACCGGCGUUGAUUAUCCUCCACUAGAAUCCUCCACCCUUAUAACAAACCUUGGUUUUUUCUUCUUCAGUCAGGAGCACUUGAUAUGUAUAUAAUAGAAAAAUAUAUAAAGUAAAAUAAAAUUAUUAAUUAAGGUA